rnacentral:misc_RNA from 1 species
GAAAAAAGGUAGAAAAAGCACGAGCAGAAGAGUUGAUCGAAAUAAAAGAUCGAGACGCAAGUGGAGCUCUGAGAGUUCUAGUGACACAGACAGUCAGAGCAUGAGCAGCAGCAGCAGCGGUGAUAGCUCUGAUGAUGAAAAUGACAGGCCAAAUAAUUCUGCACGAAAAGGUUUGGUGAAGAAAUUGUCAAACCCUGUCAAAGGACAAGCUGUUUUGAAGCAGCAACAGAAUCUUGAAGAGGGUGAAGUAUCUAAGAACGCUAAGCUUCCAAAUAAUGGUCAUGGUGGAGAUGUACAAAACGACAGGACUCUCUCCACAAAUCAUCAAUCUGAUAAUUCGAGCAGAUCCAGGAGCACAACACCAAGUCCUAAGGGGAAGCCAAGACCGAGCGGCAGGAGCAGUCGAAGUAUGAGCCCAGAAAAAGUACCUGGUAGACUUGGUCAAAAUGGUGCAAGUCUUCCAAUUGAAUCAAAGGAGAGAAGUCUUUCAAAAAGUCCUCCUCCAAAAGCUACUCAGCCAUCUCGCUCUAGUCCUGUCAGGGAUUUAUCCAGAAAUCAUUCUCCAGAUGGAACUUCAAAACGAGUCCGUAAAGGUCGUGGCUUCACUGAUCGUUAUUCAUUUGCAAGACGCUAUCGCACCCCAUCUCCUGAACGUUCAUCUUACAGGCCUUAUUACCAGGGUGGGAGAAACUUUCAGGGGAAUCGUGAUAGGUACUCAAGCUAUAGAAGCUAUUCUGGUCGCUCUCCACAGGUACAGUACAGACGGUCACCAAGAGGCAGAAGUCCCCCCAGAUACCAGCGCAGGAGUCGAAGUAGGAGUGUUUCUCGCAGCCCUAGGCGUGAGAGUCGUCGAUGUAGGAGCCCUUCACGCAGUCCUUCCCCUAGAGAAAAGCGGCAGCCAAUCAGUGACAGAUUGAAGUCUCGUCUUGGGCCUCGUGUAGAUGAUCAGCAUUCUAUUCCAACUAGGAGGUCAGCCUCAAGAUCUAGAAGCCGCGACUCUACUACUCCUCGAUCCCCUUCUGCUGCUCCAAGGAAGCACAGUAGGAAAGUAGGAUCCGCAUCACCUAAUAGUUCGAGAUCAACCUCCCCACCUCGACCGAGGGGUCUAGUCUCAUAUGAGGAUAUCAGUCCCUGUGGGACAAACUAAUCUCUGUACCCUUCAUGCUCAUAUAUGAGUGACUAAAUUUGCAGAGAACUUUUGGCCUAGGUUUAAACCUUGUUCCAUCAGAUGUUCGCUUAGCUGGGAUUUCCAACUCAAUUUUAUCAUUUUGUGUUUCAGUAAACUAGCAGUUCGACAUUGAAUGUUUUACUUAUGGAAAAAGUGUCUCAUUUAGCCUCGUACUAUAAAAAAAAGUUAUUUCUCAAUAGUUGAGAUAUCGAUUUGGC